UUGCUCCUGAUGGCGAGUGGCGAACGGGUGAGUAAUAUAUCGGAACGUACCCUAGAGUGGGGGAUAACGCAGCGAAAGUUGCGCUAAUACCGCAUACGAUCUACGGAUGAAAGUGGGGGAUCGCAAGACCUCAUGCUCAUGGAGCGGCCGAUAUCUGAUUAGCUAGUUGGUGGGGUAAAAGCCUACCAAGGCAUCGAUCAGUAGCUGGUCUGAGAGGACGACCAGCCACACUGGAACUGAGACACGGUCCAGACUCCUACGGGAGGCAGCAGUGGGGAAUUUUGGACAAUGGGCGCAAGCCUGAUCCAGCAAUGCCGCGUGAGUGAAGAAGGCCUUCGGGUUGUAAAGCUCUUUUGUCAGGGAAGAAACGGUGAGCUCUAAUACAGUUUGCUAAUGACGGUACCUGAAGAAUAAGCACCGGCUAACUACGUGCCAGCAGCCGCGGUAAUACGGAGG
rnacentral:rRNA from 1 species